CCUACGGGAGGCAGCAGUGGGGAAUCUUGCACAAUGGAGGAAACUCUGAUGCAGCGAUGCCGCGUGAGUGAGGAAGGCCUUUGGGUUGUAAAGCUCUUUUGUAGGGGAAGAUAAUGACUGUACCCUAAGAAUAAGGUCCGGCUAACUUCGUGCCAGCAGCCGCGGUAAUACGAAGGGACCUAGCGUAGUUCGGAAUUACUGGGCGUAAAGCGCGCGUAGGCCGUUGAGUUAGUUAAUUGUGAAAUCCCAAAGCUUAACUUUGGAACUGCAAUUAAAACUGCUCGACUAGAGUUUGAUAGAGGAAAGCGGAAUACAUAGUGUAGAGGUGAAAUUCGUAGAUAUUAUGUAGAACACCAGUUGCGAAGGCGGCUUUCUGGAUCAACACUGACGCUGAGGCGCGAAAGUAUGGGUAGCAAAGAGGAUUAGAUACCCUCGUAGUCCAUACCAUAAACGAUGAUUGCUAGAUGUUGGAAAUUUAUUUCAGUAUCGCAGCUAACGCAUUAAGCAAUCCGCCUGGGGAUACGACCGCAAGGUUAAACNCAAAGGAAUUGAACGGAGNGAGACGNGCGACGACGACGACGAGGAGAG
rnacentral:rRNA from 1 species